UUGUGAUCUUAUUGUUAUAUAAAUAUGAUUGGAUAAUUAAGCUUUAAGAGUCAUGUUUCUACAGGGUAAAUAGGUAUUGAGAUGGCUGAUUGUGGGGUGUAUGGAGCCAUGUGUGGAAGCGAGAGGAACUCUGGAGCCCUGUCCGAGAGAUGGCCCAGCGGGAGUCCUGUGGCCCCACAGGGCCAGAAAGUUGGCAGGCCAAGAGAACAAGGAUGCUGGUGCCCACGGAUGAUGGUACCCUUCCUGGCGCCUCCCCCCUUCCGGAGUUCAUCCGCAUUCCUCUUGCUUACAAACACCUGGAGCGUCUGCGAAUAAGCUAAGGUCUAGAAGUGGGGGAGUUUAUCACAGCACAGUUCAUAAACACGGCGGCAUAAUAAAGAACGUUAUCGCCGAUGACUUACGGCCCAGCUGCGCCCAGCCAGAUAGCAAGUGGCGAGCCAAUACAAUUUCAUGCAGCGAGGGCCACAGAUAGAUGGGGUGCCCUUCAAGCGCGAUGCUACUUCUGUGAGUCAAUCCAGAUUCGGAAAUAAAGUUGGUCUCGCCCUCUUCCCCA